rnacentral:rRNA from 1 species
UCAAACUUGAGAGUUUGAUCCUGGCUCAGAACGAACGCUGGCGGCAUGCCUAAUACAUGCAAGUCGAACGAUCUCUUCGGAGAUAGUGGCGCACGGGUGCGUAACGCGUGGGAAUCUGCCCUUGGGUUCGGAAUAACGUCGGGAAACUGACGCUAAUACCGGAUGAUGACGUAAGUCCAAAGAUUUAUCGCCCAGGGAUGAGCCCGCGUAGGAUUAGCUAGUUGGUUGGGUAAAGGCUGACCAAGGCGACGAUCCUUAGCUGGUCUGAGAGGAUGAUCAGCCACACUGGGACUGAGACACGGCCCAGACUCCUACGGGAGGCAGCAGUAGGGAAU